UACCAAGCCUAUGACGGGUAGCGGGUUUGAGAGGAUGAUCCGCCACACUGGUACUGAGACACGGACCAGACUCCUACGGGAGGCAGCAGUGAGGAAUAUUGCACAAUGGAGGAAACUCUGAUGCAGCAACGCCGCGUGGAGGAUGACGCAUUUCGGUGUGUAAACUCCUUUUAUAGGUCAAGAAAAUGACGGUAGCCUAUGAAUAAGCACCGGCUAACUCCGUGCCAGCAGCCGCGGUAAUACGGAGGGUGCAAGCGUUAUUCGGAAUCACUGGGCGUAAAGGACGCGUAGGCGGGUUUGUAAGUCAGGUGUGAAAUCCUACAGCUUAACUGUAGAACUGCACUUGAAACUACAGACCUAGA
rnacentral:rRNA from 1 species